GCGCCUGUAGUUCAAUGGAUAGAACGGCGGUCUUCGGAACCGACAAUUGGAGGUUCGACUCCUCCCAGGCGCA
rnacentral:tRNA from 1 species